AUUGAACGCUGGCGGCAGGCUUAACACAUGCAAGUCGAGCGAGCGGCGGACGGGUGAGUAAUGUCUGGGAAACUGCCUGAUGGAGGGUGAUAACUACUGGAAACGGUAGCUAAUACCGCAUACCAUCAGAUGUGCCCAGAUGGGAUUAGCUAGUAGGUGGGGUAAAUGCUCACCUUGGCGACGAUCCCUAGCUGGUCUGAGAGGGUGACCCGCCACAAUGGAACUGAUACACGGUCCCGAAGCCUUAGGGGGGCAGGAGGGGGGAAUAUUUCAAAAAUGGCGCAAACCAGAAGCAGCCAAUGCGCGUGUGUGGAGAAGGCCUUCGGGUUGUAAAGCACUUUCAACGAGGAGGAGUUACUCGCAGAAGAAGCAACGGCCAAAUCCGUGGCAGCAGCCGCGGUAAUAC
rnacentral:rRNA from 1 species